AUACGUAGGUGACAAGCGUUAUCCGGAUUUACUGGGCGUAAAGGGCGUGUAGGCGGUCUUGCAAGUCAGAAGUGAAAUUCCUGAGCUCAACUCGGGCGCUGCUUCUGAAACUGCAGGACUUGCGUGCUGGAGGGGAUAGCGGAAUUCCUAGUGGCGCGGUAAAAUGCGCAGAUAUUAGGAAGAACACCGGUGGCGAAGGCGGCUAUCUGGACAGUAACUGACGCUGAGGCGCGAAAGCGUGGGGAGCAAACAGGAUUAGAUACCCUGGUAGUCCACGCCGCAAACGAUGGGCGCUCGUCGUCGGCGGCAGACAGUCGGCGGCCAAGCGAAAGCGAUAAGCGCCCCACCUGGGGAGUACAGUCGCAAGGCUGAAACUCAAAGGAAUUGGCGGGG
rnacentral:rRNA from 1 species